rnacentral:rRNA from 1 species
GACGAACGCUGGCGGCGUGCCUAACACAUGCAAGUCGAGCGAGGAGAUUCCCUUCGGGGAUGAACCUAGCGGCGGACGGGUGAGUAACACGUGGGCAACCUGCCUUAUAGAGGGGAAUAGCCUUUCGAAAGGAAGAUUAAUACCGCAUAAGAUUGCAUUUUCGCAUGAAGAAGUAAUUAAAGGAGCAAUCCGCUAUAAGAUGGGCCCGCGGCGCAUUAGCUAGUUGGUGAGGUAACGGCUCACCAAGGCGACGAUGCGUAGCCGACCUGAGAGGGUGAUCAGCCACAUUGGGACUGAGACACGGCCCAGACUCCUACGGGAGGCAGCAGUGGGGAAUAUUGCACAAUGGAGGAAACUCUGAUGCAGCAACGCCGCGUGAGUGAUGAAGGUUUUCGGAUCGUAAAGCUCUGUCUUCAGGGACGAUAAUGACGGUACCUGAGGAGGAAGCCACGGCUAACUACGUGCCAGCCGCCGCCGUAACAC